rfam:Gossypium hirsutum cultivar TM-1 chromosome 14, whole genome shotgun sequence
GGGUGCGACCAUACCAACAUUAAUGCACCGGAUCCCAUCAAAACUCCACAGUUAAGCGUGCUUGGGCAAGAGUAGAACUAGGAUGGGUGACCUCCUGGGAAGGCCUUGUGUUGCACCCC